UGACACAUGGAGACAAUCCACAAUCUUUAUAAAGCAGGACGUAGAUGGUCACUACGUUAACUGUGAGGAAGGAAAACAAACCCAUUAUCCAUCAGCCUGGAGGCAAAGGGACCCGUGUGAUCGGGGACCCAGUGAGAUUUUCAAAUGUGUCCCUGUAUUCAGGGAUUUAUUAAAAUAAUUGGAGCUGGAAUAACAAAUGGGAAAGUCUGAAUUACUGACAAAAAUGUGACAUAAACCACAAGAAACCCUCCCUCCCCAAACACACCGAGACACAUCCAUAAGGACAGAUGGUUUCUAGAACAUUCCCCCACACUCGAUCACCCGAGAGAAGACACAGGUCACUCCUUCCCAGUUCCUAAUACGGAGGGUGGGAACGUUGCUGUCCUGAAGGAUUCUCUCCCAGUUUCCUGAAGACAAACGGAGUUUGGGAAUUCCUGUAUUUUGGUCUAAAUUGUGGUCGAUCCUGUGUCGUGAAGAAAUGUAAACGCAGGGAAAACGUAUUCACCCCUUUAACUGCCUGAGGGGCCUUCGGAACAGUGUCUCCUUCUCCCUGGAACGGGAUCUCUUCCCUCGGGAUCUUAUCGUUUGUUCAAUUCACUGACGUCCGGCCGUUCACAAACAAACAACGUCAGGGACAGAACGUUCCGGGGAAUGGCAGUUAUGGAAUGUCGGGGACAGAACGUUCCGGGGAAUGUCAGUUAUAGAAUGUUGCGGACAGAACUUUCCGGGGGACAUAAAAACAUAUCUUCAAAUCGACCGAGACCAUUUUCUGCUCAGGAUAUGGCUCUGUGUAUGACAGCAGCAAUGAUGUACCGACAUGGAACAGGGAAUGUGAUGGAGACAUAGUUUGGACAAUGUACAAGGAGACCUCACAUUGUCCACUUUGGGAGAGGAUGGCAUUACUGUCUGAUUCAACUCAGAGAGGGAGAAAGUGUCAUCUGCCCGAGAAGGAACGGCCGAUUGAACUCUCCCUCCUUCAUUGUUCCUCAUCACAGCAAUGUGUGCAAGCUAAAAAAAAAAUCUCUACAGUCAUCAUUACCAUUCUUAUUUUUAUGGAAUCCCUGCAGUGUUGAAACAGUCCCUUCAGCCCAACAAGUCCAUACCAACCUUCCCAACCCAUUCCCCUAUAUUUACCCUUGACUAAUGCACCCAACCUAGAAAUUCCUGAACACUACAGGCAAUUUAGCAUGACCAAUCCACCUAAUUGAACUGUGGUAGAAAACUACAUCACCCAUUUAGAAGCUCACACAGAAAGGUGGAGAAUGUGCAAACUCCACACAGUCAGUCACCCAAGGCUGGAAUUGACCCCAAGUCCCUGGUGCUGUGAGGCAGCAGUGCUAACCACCGUGCUACCCUUUGGGUGAUCCCUGACAAGAAUUCAUUGGAAUCUACUCACUGCUUAAAGCAAAGGGAAUUCAGCCAAAUCCAACUCUCCUAGGAUGAAAUCCCAUUGCUAGCAGCUGUGUGAGUACAAUAUCUUCAGAAGCAGAAUAAUGUUUUGGACAAUCUCACAAUGUUUCCUUUUGUCAUGAGUUCCAAUAAUAUCUGGACAAAGUUAUUUUAAGUUAAAAUUGCAGAGAUUUUGAGUGUGUGUGUGUGUAUGUGUGUGUUUACAAAGGGAAAUAUUGAUUAUAUAUUUGAAAUAUCCAAA